GGUUCACUACCAUUUUAUAAAGCUUAAUGUCUUUAAAGCUUUACAACACAUUUUAUCUAAAUGUGCAUAAAAAUUUGAUUCACCAUCAAAAACAAUACCCAGAAUAUAUCAAUAUUGAACAAUAAUAAUAAGGUACAAUGUGUACUAAUCAUAUAGAUAAUAGAUAUUAAUCAAACGGUAGUUGGACCGAUCAGUUAAUCACAGUAAAGAAGGGACACAAGGGACGAUUAAAAGGCUUUGUCUUUCUCUCUCUCAUCGAUUUUGAAUGGUCUUCUGAAACUGGGGUCACUUUAGAAACAAGUCAGUAAAUCUCAAUUGAUUCGAUAAUUAAUUACGAUUCAACGCACGUAGGACACAAAAUAAAGGAAUAUAGCACCUACAAUCUAGUAAGUAUAAAAUAAAUUGUUUCUAGUCUUUGUACCCGAGUAGACGGUAAAACAUUUUUAUUUGAUAGCUAUUUUAAUACGAAUUGCGAUAAACCACGAACUACUAUAUAUCAAACUGUAGAUUAUUUAACUUUAAUUAGGUACACAUUACUAAAACUAUUAUGUUGAUGAUACUUUUUUCUGUAUACCGAAAUUAACCCAAAAAUUAUUGCCACAUAGACUUAAUACUAUUCUAAUGACAUUCAUUAUGCAGUGUGAUGUUGAGUAGUGCCUCUUAUUGUGAUAUACGUCCAAAUAAAUCAAUUACCAAGAUCAGUAUAUUUAAAAUUUAGCAGGACUAAAGUUGAAAUAUAUGCUUGAUUAUAUAAAAAAAAAAGGAAAGUUACUCUCAUAAUUAUGAAAGUAAAAUAAUGAGUUUAUACAAAAGGUAUUUCGUAGAUCUGCAGAAUUUUUAUGAAAUUUAAAAACGUUAAAAAUCUUCCAAGAAAAACUUAUUGGCGAGUGUUUAAGUUCUGUUUGUGAAAGAAACGUUCGAGGAAUUAAUAGCAAACGAUUUUCACCGGAAAAAUAAGAAAGUUUAUGGCCAGCAUUGGAUUAUUUUGAAACCACAUGAUCAUAAACCAUGUGAAUGAGCUCCGAUAGAAAAUUGAAUUCUUUGUAUUUUUCGUUAUGCAUUAAUAGCACAAGAUUUGUCUCCAGCAAAUAAAUUACCAGAAUGAUUGCGCGUAAUCGUAUUACUUUUAUUACAUUAACGCUGUACUGCGGGAAACCGUUACAUUCCAAAAAUUCGCGAAAGCUCCGGGGGUGAGGGAUGAAAACUCGUGGAAAUGAAUCAAUAUAAUGACAGCCAAUGAACCGAAAUGGAAUAAAAAUACGAGUAAAUACAAUGAAACCCUGUCUCAAUUACAAAAGCUUUGUACUGAAUUAGUAAUCGAGACGAUUAUUGCAGAAGAUUAUUUUAAGGUAACCUGUUCAUUGUAAUAUCAUAACGGUGUUCAAACAUCUACAAAUAUUACAUAAUAGUUUUUAUUUGCUCGAGGGAUUAUUUUUCAGUUAAUUUCAA